rnacentral:rRNA from 1 species
UACAGAGGGGGCAAGCGUUGUUCGGAAUUACUGGGCGUAAAGGGCGCGUAGGCGGCCGCCUAAGUCAGACGUGAAAUCCCUCGGCUCAACCGGGGAACUGCGUCUGAUACUGGGUGGCUUGAAUCCGGGAGAGGGAUGCGGAAUUCCAGGUGUAGCGGUGAAAUGCGUAGAUAUCUGGAGGAACACCGGUGGCGAAGGCGGCAUCCUGGACCGGCAUUGACGCUGAGGCGCGAAAGCUAGGGGAGCGAACAGG